CAGCCGCCGCGGUAAUACGGAGGGGGCUAGCGUUGUUCGGAAUUACUGGGCGUAAAGCGCACGUAGGCGGCUUUGUAAGUUAGAGGUGAAAGCCCGGAGCUCAACUCCGGAAUUGCCUUUAAGACUGCAGAGCCAGCAGGUGAGAGAGGUGAGUGGAAUUCCGAGUGUAGAGGUGAAAUUCGUAGAUAUUCGGAAGAACACCAGUGGCGAAGGCGGCUCACUGGCUCAUACUGGACGCUGAGGUGCGAAAGCGUGGGGAGCAAACAGGAUUAGAUACCCCCGUAGUCCCUGUCUCUUAUAC
rnacentral:rRNA from 1 species